ensembl:lncRNA
CAAGACUGCAGCACGGCAAGCUGGCAAGAGAGGAUUCUGAACUGCCAUCCUUUACACUUCCAGCCACAGCGGGCUCUGUCACGUACAGCUGCGUAGUAACAGACGGGCAGUGGCAGGGCCCUUUCUUGCCGCUCCUCUGAUACUUACGACCAAAUCUAGAAAGAAAUCGAAGCAGUUGUUCUCUGUAGAAACUAUGCCUAACCUUGUUCCUUCUACCAGCAGACAAGCCCAACACAUGCCUGCCAGUCCAAUGGUGGGUAGAAGUGUUUGGUUUGUUGUUUUGGUUGCCGUUUUUUGGUUUUUGUUUUUUUUUUUCUGGGAGGGGGGGGAGAAAAUGUCGUGUUUCCGAAAGAAGUGUAGUAUUUUGGAGAGAAAACGUUUUGUUUUCGUUUGAAAGGUGGUAUUUUGUGGGAGAUGAUGCUUAACUGCGGGGCGAAAAGUAGGAUCUGGGGGAGAAAAUCCACUUCUGGGUCGGAAAGAAUAGGACAUUUUCUCCCCCAAGUACCCCUUGUCUCACCGAAACAAGACUCUUUCUCCACUAAAUACCACUGCUCUCCACAAAACAUGACUUCUCGCCUGCCAAAUACAAAGCUGUUUGCUUUCCAAAAAGACGACGUUUCCUUCGCGCGCUCCCUUUUUUCUCCACAACAUGCAAAUUCUCUCUCCAAAACAGGACAGUUUCUCCCCCAAACGCUACUUUUCUCCAGAACAUAGGGCCCUUCCUUCGCGCAUCAUGCCACAUUUCUCCUGAAAAUAUACAGCUCUUCCUUGCAAAAUACCACUGUUCUCCCAAAGACAUGACCACUUUUCUUCCCACACCAUACCACUCUUCUCCAAAACUACGAUCUCUCCUCUCAAAAACGCCACUUUUCUCCCAAAAAUACGACUGUUUCUUCCCCUCAGGACCUCAUUUCUCCUCCAUAGAUGAGACUUUCUCGACCCAAAUCUCACUUUCGUCAAGAAAAGAAGGCAUUUUCCCGACCACAAAACCACUCUUCACCCCCAAAUCAGACUUUUCUCCCCAAAACACCACUGUGCUCCCUAAAAGAAGACACUCUCUCCCCCCACAUACCACUGCGCUCCCCAAACUAAGACGCCUACAGCCCCAAAUACCACUUCUCUACACCACACAUCACCUUUGCUCCACCAAAAUACCAC